UAAAUGACUCAUGUGAAAGUUUGGGUUAAAUAACUCAUUAUCCAAUCACAUUGGAGAUAAGUGAGUUGGAAAUAAAUUAAUAAAUAAAAUAUAAAAAUUUCAACUCACCUAUCUUUAAUAUAAUUGGAUGAUGAGUUAUUUAACCAAAACUUUCACAUGAGUCAUUUA
rnacentral:pre_miRNA from 1 species